AAGCUAUGAUGUGGAAACUUCCUCAAUAGGUCCUUAAAUCUCUCCUAAGCUUCAUACAACUCUCUUGAUAAUGGUGGGCAAAAGUUAUUAUCUUAUUGCGAAGCUU
rnacentral:snoRNA from 1 species